rnacentral:rRNA from 1 species
AGAGAUGUGUGAUGACGCAUAUCAAUAAGCGGAGGAAAAGAAACUAACAAGGAUUCCCUUAGUAACGGCGAGUGAAGCGGGAAGAGCUCAAAUUUGAAAUCUUAAAGGGUUUCCCUUUACGAAUUGUAGUUUAAAGAAGUGUUUUCUGUUAGUGGAGUGGCAAAAGUUCUUUGGAAUAGGACAUCAUAGAGGGUGAGAAUCCCGUAUUUGGUCAGUUCUUUCUAGCUUUGUGAUACACUUUCAACGAGUCGGAUUGUUUGGGAAUGCAGUCCAAAAUGGGUGGUAAAUUUCAUCUAAAGCUAAAUAUUGGCGAGAGACCGAUAGCGAACAAGUACCGUGAGGGAAAGAUGAAAAGAACUUUGAAAAGAGAGUUAAACAGUACGUGAAAUUGUCAAAAGGGAAGCGUUUGACACCAGUGUUGUUUUUCCGAAAAUCAAUUACGAAUGUUUUGUUUUUAAGAAGUUAUGACUUCAUCGGCUUGCUUCUUUCUUUACGAAACUUUCUUAAUGCACUUUUCGGUUAACAAGUCAACAUCAAUUUCUUUUGUUGUAAAAGGGUAUGAGGAAGGUGGCUUUCUUUUCGGAGAAAGUGUUUAUAGCCUUGUACCUCUGCAAUCGGAGAGAUUGAGGUCUGCAGCGUAGAUCCUUCGGGGUUAGAUACAUUUGUGCUAAGUUAUAGCUUUUCAUAGACAACUUGUUGACUAUGUUAAGUCUUGUAGCUUACUCGCUUAUGCUAUUUUACCUACGCUUAGGAUGUUGACAGCAGUAUAGACUGU